rnacentral:rRNA from 1 species
GACGAACGCUGGCGGCGUGCUUAACACAUGCAAGUCGAACGGUAAGGCCCUUCGGGGUACACGAGUGGCGAACGGGUGAGUAACACGUGGGUGAUCUGCCCUGCACUUCGGGAUAAGCCUGGGAAACUGGGUCUAAUACCGGAUAGGACCACUGCCUGCAUGGGUGGUGGGGGAAAGCCUUUGCGGUGUGGGAUGGGCCCGCGGCCUAUCAGCUUGUUGGUGGGGUGAUGGCCUAACAAGGCGACGACGGGUAGCCGGCCUGAGAGGGUGACCGGCGACACUGGGACUGAGAUACGGCCCAGACUCCUACGGGAGGCAGCAGUGGGGAAUAUUGCACAAUGGGCGCAAGCCUGAUGCAGCGACGCCGCGUGAGGGAUGACGGCCUUCGGGUUGUAAACCUCUUUCAGGUGGGAAGAUAAUGACUGUACCACCAGAAGAAGCCCCGGCUAACUCCGUGCCAGCCGCCGCAGUAAAAC